rnacentral:rRNA from 1 species
UACGUAGGGUGCGAGCGUUAAUCGGAAUUACUGGGCGUAAAAGUGUGCGCAGGCGGCCGCGCAAGUCGAGUGUGAAAGCCCCGAGCUUAACUUGGGAAUUGCGCUCGAAACUACGUGGCUGGAGUGUGGCAGAGGAAGGUGGAAUUCCACGUGUAGCGGUGAAAUGCGUAGAGAUGUGGAGGAACACCAAUGGCGAAGGCAGCCUUCUGGGCCAACACUGACGCUCAUGCACGAAAGCGUGGGGAGCAAACAGG